rnacentral:lncRNA from 1 species
AAAAAUUAGAAGAGGAAAAAAAGAGAGCAAAAGCAGGAGGCUCCAUAACUAUGGGUGGUGAGAGAGUAGAUUCCCUACAAACUUGUCCCUACAGGGUUGGGCUUGAAGGCUACAGGCCAUUAAUGGCGAGUUUGAUCAGUGGUAGUUAAAGUUACACACACAAGAUGAAGAAGUUGGAGGAUUCUUCUUAGUAGUCCAGGCCAGCUGGUUUAUUUAGUGAUCACAUGACUCGGGACAUAUUUUUCCAAAAGAUGCCUCUCACUAUGCGAUCAUUAAUAUAUGAAGUUGAAGGUCUUUGAAAUGUGCAAAUUUUGAAAAAUUUGUAAGGAAAUUGGGAUGGAUGAGACAGUUGUUUAACAAAGUGAUGCGAGAUUGUUGAGUGCUUAGGUCAUCCAUGAUGUUAUCAAAUAUGUAAGAUUAAUUAAAUUUUGAUAAUUUUGGUCUGAUCAAUUUGAUUUUAAUUAAAAAAAUUUGAUAAAUCAAAUUAAAUGCUCUCUGUUUAAUGCUUGCAGGUGGUACCCAGGGGCUUCCAGAUUCAAUUAUCUUCAGGCAAAGGUUGGACCGAUGGCUGGCUUAUGGGACACAGCUCACAAGGCGCGUUUGGGAUGUCAAAGAGCCCCCCAUCAUCUUAUCUUCUGUCGGUGCUAUCGUGCUUUUGUUGGCCAUCCAUGGUUCUCUCACUUCCUCUCUGCUCCUGGAAGUGCCUUCUGCUUUCUUUUCGAGUGUUUUGAAGCUCAUGGGCUCUUUCUUCUGCUAGAUCCUAGCGUAUGAAGUUUCAUGCUACGACAGCAACAGAGGGCGUGGAACUACUCAAGAUUGAAAUGUGGUUUGAGUCCGGCUUGUUUAUUUUAAGGUUGGUGCUUUUAGAACCAUCGUCUCGAUUAUUUGGGCUGACUAAACCGUUUUAGGACUACUUAGCUCUUUGGUUAAAAUUAAAAAGGACCCAAAUAGUAUUGCAGGCUUGAGCUCAGUUUCUUGUAGCCGGUCGUUGCUGGCCAAUUUGGGCUUUGGGCUGUCUAGAGGUUUCAUUUAUAAUAACAAUAAAUGAACGAGUCCAAAUUUUCACUUACCAUCUGUCAUUAAAUUUAGUAAUUUUUACACAGCAUCAAAAUACUGG